AAGUCGUAACAAGGUUUCCGUAGGUGAACCUGCGGAAGGAUCAUUACCGAAUCAUGUGGGCCGAGCCGUGCAUCAUCUGCCGGCCCGUGUCUGCUUUGCAACCCUUCUUGUAUGGCAGGCGUAACGGCCUGCCAUAUGUGUCUCGCUUCUUUUCACCACACAAAACCUGUCAUUGCAUAUACAAGAUAUCUAUAUAUAACUUUCAACAACGGAUCUCUUGGCUCUC
rnacentral:misc_RNA from 1 species